CCCACUAUUAUUGUGUGCAGUACAAGG
rnacentral:piRNA from 1 species